UACGGAGGGGGCUAGCGUUGCUCGGAAUUACUGGGCGUAAAGCGCACGUAGGCGGCGAACCUAGUCAGACGUGAAAGGCCUGGGCUCAACCCGGGAAGUGCGUUUGAUACUGGUUUGCUAGAGUCCGGAAGAGGGUAGUGGAAUUCCCAGUGUAGAGGUGAAAUUCGUAGAUAUUGGGAAGAACACCAGUGGCGAAGGCGGCUACCUGGUCCGGUACUGACGCUGAGGUGCGAAAGCGUGGGGAGCAAACAGG
rnacentral:misc_RNA from 1 species